GUUCCAUUUCAUUCCCGGCACCCUUUCCUCCUCUACGUCGCCUUCAUGGCCUUAUCAUCUCUGCGUCACCUUAGUGGCCUUUUCCUCUAUGUGUAGCCGGUGAGUUGUCGUUUCUCCUUUGUGUUACUGGUGAGUCUCCCUUCUCUCCUCGCGUCGUCGUUUCUCCUCUCAAUCUCCAAGGGUUUUUGUGAGAUGCCGAAACAUAAAAUGGAAGUAACAACAGGCAAAGAUAGGAGUCAUUGAGUUUCAAGGAGGACUAGCACGAAAAUCAGAGUGAAAAUGAGGGACUUUGAAAACAUCUGCACUAGUGCAACCACACCUAAAUCAGGCAUGGCCACACCACUUGAGUAGUGCGGUCACACCGAAAUUGGGCUUGGUCAAGCCCAAUGUGCCAAAAUAGACCGCGCGAAAGAGUUUCUAGCUGUGGUGUGAACACGCCACCCAACCCGAGCCCACAGUGUAAUUACUCCUAUGGUCAGGCGUGGUCAUGUUGCCGCAUCUUCUCAGUUUUGGAAAAUUUUUAUUACGGGGUUAUAAAGGAUUUGGGAAAAAUUUUUAACUCAUUCUAGAAAAUCAUUGUAAGGAGAAGAUUUAGGGAGCUUUUCUUGGAGAGGGAAUUGCAUAAGAGGCUAGGGUUUAGAGGGAGAAUUCUUCUCUUCUUUCAAACUUUCUUUUGUCUGUAUUAUUUGAGAGAGUUUUCAGAAAAAUUGGUGGCUAUUCUUAUAAGA